UACGGAGGGUGCGAGCGUUGUCCGGAAUCACUGGGCGUAAAGGGCGCGUAGGCGGCAUGCCAAGCGUGUGGUGAAAGCCCGGGGCUCAACCCCGGGUCGGCCGUGCGGACUGGCGUGCUCGAGCACUGUAGGGGCGGGUGGAAUUCCGGGUGUAGCGGUGGAAUGCGUAGAGAUCCGGAAGAACACCGGUGGCGAAGGCGGCCCGCUGGGCAGGAAGAUCCCGUAAGGGGUCGGCUGACGCUGAGGCGCGACAGCGUGGGGAGCAAACAGG
rnacentral:rRNA from 1 species